UUAAGCGACUAAGCGUACACGGUGGAUGCCCUGGCAGUCAGAGGCGAUGAAGGACGUGCUAAUCUGCGAUAAGCGUCGGUAAGGUGAUAUGAACCGUUAUAACCGGCGAUUUCCGAAUGGGGAAACCCAGUGUGUUUCGACACACUAUCAUUAACUGAAUCCAUAGGUUAAUGAGGCGAACCGGGGGAACUGAAACAUCUAAGUACCCCGAGGAAAAGAAAUCAACCGAGAUUCCCCCAGUAGCGGCGAGCGAACGGGGAGCAGCCCAGAGCCUGAAUCAGUGUGUGUGUUAGUGGAAGCGUCUGGAAAGGCGUGCGAUACAGGGUGACAGCCCCGUACACAAAAAUGCACAUGCUGUGAGCUCGAUGAGUAGGGCGGGACACGUGGUAUCCUGUCUGAAUAUGGGGGGACCAUCCUCCAAGGCUAAAUACUCCUGACUGACCGAUAGUGAACCAGUACCGUGAGGGAAAGGCGAAAAGAACCCCGGCGAGGGGAGUGAAAAAGAACCUGAAACCGUGUACGUACAAGCAGUGGGAGCCUCUUUUAUGGGGUGACUGCGUACCUUUUGUAUAAUGGGUCAGCGACUUAUAUUCUGUAGCAAGGUUAACCGAAUAGGGGAGCCGAAGGGAAACCGAGUCUUAACUGGGCGUUAAGUUGCAGGGUAUAGACCCGAAACCCGGUGAUCUAGCCAUGGGCAGGUUGAAGGUUGGGUAACACUAACUGGAGGACCGAACCGACUAAUGUUGAAAAAUUAGCGGAUGACUUGUGGCUGGGGGUGAAAGGCCAAUCAAACCGGGAGAUAGCUGGUUCUCCCCGAAAGCUAUUUAGGUAGCGCCUCGUGAAUUCAUCUCCGGGGGUAGAGCACUGUUUCGGCAAGGGGGUCAUCCCGACUUACCAACCCGAUGCAAACUGCGAAUACCGGAGAAUGUUAUCACGGGAGACACACGGCGGGUGCUAACGUCCGUCGUGAAGAGGGAAACAACCCAGACCGCCAGCUAAGGUCCCAAAGUCAUGGUUAAGUGGGAAACGAUGUGGGAAGGCCCAGACAGCCAGGAUGUUGGCUUAGAAGCAGCCAUCAUUUAAAGAAAGCGUAAUAGCUCACUGGUCGAGUCGGCCUGCGCGGAAGAUGUAACGGGGCUAAACCAUGCACCGAAGCUGCGGCAGCGACGCUUAUGCGUUGUUGGGUAGGGGAGCGUUCUGUAAGCCUGUGAAGGUGUACUGUGAGGUAUGCUGGAGGUAUCAGAAGUGCGAAUGCUGACAUAAGUAACGAUAAAGCGGGUGAAAAGCCCGCUCGCCGGAAGACCAAGGGUUCCUGUCCAACGUUAAUCGGGGCAGGGUGAGUCGACCCCUAAGGCGAGGCCGAAAGGCGUAGUCGAUGGGAAACAGGUUAAUAUUCCUGUACUUGGUGUUACUGCGAAGGGGGGACGGAGAAGGCUAUGUUGGCCGGGCGACGGUUGUCCCGGUUUAAGCGUGUAGGCUGGUUUUCCAGGCAAAUCCGGAAAAUCAAGGCUGAGGCGUGAUGACGAGGCACUACGGUGCUGAAGCAACAAAUGCCCUGCUUCCAGGAAAAGCCUCUAAGCAUCAGGUAACAUCAAAUCGUACCCCAAACCGACACAGGUGGUCAGGUAGAGAAUACCAAGGCGCUUGAGAGAACUCGGGUGAAGGAACUAGGCAAAAUGGUGCCGUAACUUCGGGAGAAGGCACGCUGAUAUGUAGGUGAAGUCCCUCGCGGAUGGAGCUGAAAUCAGUCGAAGAUACCAGCUGGCUGCAACUGUUUAUUAAAAACACAGCACUGUGCAAACACGAAAGUGGACGUAUACGGUGUGACGCCUGCCCGGUGCCGGAAGGUUAAUUGAUGGGGUUAGCGCAAGCGAAGCUCUUGAUCGAAGCCCCGGUAAACGGCGGCCGUAACUAUAACGGUCCUAAGGUAGCGAAAUUCCUUGUCGGGUAAGUUCCGACCUGCACGAAUGGCGUAAUGAUGGCCAGGCUGUCUCCACCCGAGACUCAGUGAAAUUGAACUCGCUGUGAAGAUGCAGUGUACCCGCGGCAAGACGGAAAGACCCCGUGAACCUUUACUAUAGCUUGACACUGAACAUUGAGCCUUGAUGUGUAGGAUAGGUGGGAGGCUUUGAAGUGUGGACGCCAGUCUGCAUGGAGCCGACCUUGAAAUACCACCCUUUAAUGUUUGAUGUUCUAACGUUGACCCGUGAUCCGGGUUGCGGACAGUGUCUGGUGGGUAGUUUGACUGGGGCGGUCUCCUCCUAAAGAGUAACGGAGGAGCACGAAGGUUGGCUAAUCCUGGUCGGACAUCAGGAGGUUAGUGCAAUGGCAUAAGCCAGCUUGACUGCGAGCGUGACGGCGCGAGCAGGUGCGAAAGCAGGUCAUAGUGAUCCGGUGGUUCUGAAUGGAAGGGCCAUCGCUCAACGGAUAAAAGGUACUCCGGGGAUAACAGGCUGAUACCGCCCAAGAGUUCAUAUCGACGGCGGUGUUUGGCACCUCGAUGUCGGCUCAUCACAUCCUGGGGCUGAAGUAGGUCCCAAGGGUAUGGCUGUUCGCCAUUUAAAGUGGUACGCGAGCUGGGUUUAGAACGUCGUGAGACAGUUCGGUCCCUAUCUGCCGUGGGCGCUGGAGAACUGAGGGGGGCUGCUCCUAGUACGAGAGGACCGGAGUGGACGCAUCACUGGUGUUCGGGUUGUCAUGCCAAUGGCACUGCCCGGUAGCUAAAUGCGGAAGAGAUAAGUGCUGAAAGCAUCUAAGCACGAAACUUGCCCCGAGAUGAGUUCUCCCUGACUCCUUGAGAGUCCUGAAGGAACGUUGAAGACGACGACGUUGAUAGGCCGGGUGUGUAAGCGCAGCGAUGCGUUGAGCUAACCGGUACUAAUGAACCGUGAGGCUUAACCUU
rnacentral:rRNA from 1 species